rnacentral:misc_RNA from 1 species
AGUUGAUGAGGGGAUCAUGAACAAAUGCCUCCAUCAUUGCCAUCACACUAUCCUUGUUCGUCCGAAGAACUUGCAUCACAUUUUCACAAGUGGAGCGAAAGUUGCCCUCUAUACCACUAACUUCCAUAGCCUUUACAAGCAUUCUUGUCAAGCGGAAUGGAACCUUCUCAGGGAAUUUCUCCCGGUUCAUUGAAGCUUCAAAGCAGUCUCCAAAAUCAAUGUGCAAGAUCUUCCCACUAUAGCGGUGCAGCAUAAGGUUGCUUGGGUGUCGAUCACCUAAGCCAAGAAGGUAACCAACCAUGCUCAUGACUGCUAAACUUCUUGUGUAAUUUGUUCUCCUCUCCAACCAUACCUCAGAAGUGCGACUUUUUAACCAAAGAACCCUUGCUAGGUCAUUUCCUUCAGUAUUUUGCAAAGCAAAGUCAAAAACUUCCACCUUAGCUAUAAGUGGUAAAUGAUCAUAAUCUGGAGCAAAACUGAGCAUAUAUUUGUGCUCUUGAUUCAAAGUAAUCUUUCUAGCAUCCCUGUAUUCUCGAAUGAGCUGGUGUAGGGUGUCGCAAUUUGGAACCCAUCCAAUUAACCCACUGUUCGGAGAUAAUGGAAUGACAGCAUAUCGCUGAAUAGAUAGAUCCUUCUCCGAUGUUUUUCUUGAAUUCUCCAAAAGUGUAUUUACCAAACCAAAAAGCUGCAUAACACGCUCAUCUUGGCGCAGAUCUUCAUGUCCCUUCAGCAAGAAGGCAUAAUCUUCACCAUCACUCCCAUGAAUUGUCAAUUUUCGGGGUCGCUGUUUUGAUGUUAUUACAACAAGUUGGCGUGCAAAUGAUGCGAUUGUCACUACUGGUGAAUCAGCAAGAUAUGUGCCAGGAACAGCAAGCUCCAAAUUCCGGCAUUCUAACAGCUCCGGAGAAACAGACUGCAGAUCCAGGGUUGUAAGGCUUUGAAGCUGCUUGUCUAUCCGUCUGAAAACAUGAUAAUAUAGAUCCCAUGCCUGGGUAAGCUCAGCCUCUUUUAUAGUUCUCCUGUACUUCAUACAACAUUCCCAGGCCUCCAACAAUUCAUGGCGAUAUGCCUCAAUGAACGCUCUCUCCUUUACGGUGGUAUUCUCCCUCAUAGCACCUUCCUCUAGCAUUUCAUGCAAAGGUUCCAACACUUUCAGCAUGCCCUCAAUGUUAUGUUCACCAAAAUACAAACGACUGGCUUCUUCCAAUCCUUCAUGCCACAUUUCAUGCCAAAGAAUUGCUACCCUGAUUAGUUCCUUUGACACAAGUUGUGCCUGAUCCACCAGCACACCACUAUGCUGCCGAACUUUGUCUACCACUUCUUGAGCUGCUGCUCUACGUAAAUUGCUUAUAGAUUUACAUGCCACAAGAAGCGGAUACAUAAGAGCCUGGGGAUGACUUUGCCCAAUUCGCACCAAAAGUGAUUGUAUUAGUUCCCUCACAGCAUGAUUAUUUGAAUGAAUCCUGGCAAUUAUUUGAGGUAAAACAACCAGCCAUGUGUUGAUAUUAACAUGUGCAAAUCCAUUUUGCAGUGCCAUUUGAACUUCUGCAGUAGCUCCAUGGUUGAACCAUAAGGUAAGGAGACGAAGUAUAUCCUGUAAGCUAUCAUCCACCCCUUUCGCAUUUGCUGCACAAGCUAUUGAAUGAAAAUAUCCAGUAACAGCUGCAACAACGAACUGUGAGACAACAUUAGGAAACCCCCUCAUGGUAUAAUGAGACAUGACUGCUGUAUUGAACAAAGCCCAAGUGUGCCAUGCUUUCGCCCAUUUUGUUGCGCAUUGCGUGGCAU